rnacentral:rRNA from 1 species
UUGACUCUGGGUGAUAAUGCGGGGUAAGACGGAGUGUGUGAGUGUUAAUCGGAAUGACGGGGCGUAAAGCGAGGGUUGGUGGCGCAUUAAGGUACAUGGUAAAUCCCCGGGCUUAAGCUGGGAACUGCAUGUGAUACUGGUGGUGCUAGAAUAUGUGAGAGGGAAGUAGAAUUCCAGGUGGAGCGGUGAAAUGCGUAGAGAUCUGGAGGAAUACCGAUGGCGAAGGCAGCUUCCUGGCAUAAUAUUGACACUGAGAUUCGAAAGCGUGGGUAGCAAACAGGAUUAGAUACCCUAGUAGUC